rnacentral:rRNA from 1 species
UGCAAGUCGCACGGUAUGGGGGCAACUCCAUGCAGUGGCGGACGGGUGAGUAACGCGUAGGAAUCUAUCCUUGGAUGGGGGGCAACCGUGGGAAACUACGGCUAAUACCGCAUGAUGCCUGAGGGCCAAAGCUCGCGAGAGCGUCUGGGGAGGAGCCUGCGUCUGAUUAGGUAGUUGGUGGGGUAAAGGCCUACCAAGCCUGCGAUCAGUAGCUGGUCUGAGAGGAUGAUCAGCCACAUUGGGACUGAGACACGGCCCAAACUCCUACGGGAGGCAGCAGUGGGGAAUAUUGGACAAUGGGGGAAACCCUGAUCCAGCAAUGCCGCGUGUGUGAAGAAGGUCUUCGGAUUGUAAAGCACUUUUGGCAGGGACGAUGAUGACGGUACCUGCAGAAUAAGCCCCGGCUAACUUCGUGCCAGCAGCCGCGGUAAUACGAAGGGGGCUAGCGUUGCUCGGAAUGACUGGGCGUAAAGGGCGCGUAGGCGGCAUGUACAGUCAGAAGUGAAAUUCCUGGGCUCAACCUGGGGACUGCUUUUGAUACGUGCAGGCUAGAGUGAGGAAGAGGGUUGUGGAAUUUCCAGUGUAGAGGUGAA